CUGCAACCAAUUAAGCCGACCAUGCUGUUCUUCCCAUGGGGCCCAGUGUGCAAUGGCUGCAAACAGCAGCCUCCUUGGUAGUAUAUGUGGCCAGCCUAUUGCUUCUAUCAGUUGUUCUAAGGGACUUUAGGGGUCCUU